rnacentral:rRNA from 1 species
AGAGUUUGAUCCUGGCUCAGAAUGAACGUUGGCGGCGUGGAUUAGGCAUGCAAGUCGAGCGAGAAGGCUCCCUUCGGGGAGCUGGACAGCGGCAAACGGGGUAGUAAGGCGUCGGUACGCACCCCCAGGACCGGGAUAGCCGCGGGAAACUGCGGGUAAUACCGGAUAAUAUCUCCGGAUCAAAUGGUGAGAUUCCGCCUGGGGACCGGCUGACGUGAUACCAGCUUGUUGGUGAGGUAACGGCUCACCAAGGCGAAGACGUCUAGGGGGUGUGAGAGCAUGGCCCCCACCACUGGGACUGAGACACUGCCCAGACACCUACGGGUGGCUGCAGUCGAGAAUCUUCGGCAAUGGGCGAAAGCCUGACCGAGCGACGCCGCGUGCGGGAUGACGGCCCUUGGGUUGUAAACCGCUGUCAGAGGGGAUGAAAUUUCGUGGGGCUAUCCCCACGAUUUGACAAAGCCUCACAGGAAGCCCGGGCUAAAUACGUGCCAGCAUCCGCGGUAAUACGUACUGGGCGAACGUUAUUCGGAAUCACUGGGCUUAAAGGGUGCGUAGGCGGCCAUCCAGGUCUGAUGUGAAAUCUUUCGGCUCAACCGGGAAAAUUGCGUUGGAAACCGGAUGGCUUGAGUGUGCUAAGGGUGUGUGGAACUUUCCACUGGACCUGUGAAUUGUGUUGAAAUAUGAAGGAACGCCCAGUCUCGAAAGCUAUACGCUGGGGCAUAACUGACGCUGUGCACAACAGCUGCAGUAGCGAACGGGAUAGAUAU